rnacentral:lncRNA from 1 species
CGCACUUAAAAGCCGAGUACUCUACCGUUGAGUUAGCAACCCGAAGAAAAUAUCGAAGAAAACGCCCUGGCGUAUGUUUCCGAAUCAACUGCAUCGUAAGCUGCUAUAGCUCUUGCCAACUACCCUGGAAAUGAAAAAGAAACUCUAUCCUCAACCCUUCCAAUCCUUAGUUCAUGGUGGCAACUUCACCCCGUGCAUCCUUUGGUUGUGAGCCCCGCCUAGAGGGAGGCGCUAAGGGAAGGGCGUAGCGUUAAAUCUGCCUCGCCUUUCAGAGGUUUUCCACCCUUCUGUUGAGCACCAAUUGGAAAUCCAAUCUGACUUCUAAAACGGAAGUGAGCACAGGUGAGAGGACCCCACUUUCCCGCAUUCCUCUCCCCACGAGCAGAACACCAGAGAUGCACAGCACGUGGGCCUUGUCUAACGAACGACGACUUUCGAUUCUUCACUUCAAGGAGUAGAGUCGCUGCCCAACCCUACCUAUAUAAAAGAAAAAGAAUCGAUCACUAGGUCCCGAGCAAUUCUACCUUCUUUCCAUUAUCCAACGCUCAUGCGUCCCCUUUCUCCCACUCUUUUAAAGCUUUCAAUAAAGCCUUCUUAGCUGUGGAAGCAGCAAC